rnacentral:lncRNA from 1 species
GAAGAUGUUGCGUAUCAAGAGCCCAACGCAAUAGGUAUUCCUAACUCCUCUACCGUUCGCCUUAAUAAUUUUAAAGCGGGUCGUUCGGUGCGAAUUCGUGAUGAAGAGCCAAGGCUUAUUGAUGUUGAUCCAAAUCAAGAAACAGACGAAGACUCUGGCGAUGAGGAAAUACAUAGAUUACCAGAAAUUAAUUCUGACACCGAAGAAGACUCAUCGGAUGAUUCCGAUUACGAGCCUUAGUUUUAAUUUAGAGGACGUAAUACAUUAAUUUGUAAUAAAAAAGAUUGUAUUACCUUAAUUUAUAGUUUACAUAUGUUGAAUUCAUAUUUCUGUUAUUUUAUAUGAAUUUUGGUGAUAUAUGAACAGGAAAUUAGUAUGGUUUAAACCUUCUGUUUUAGGGUUUGUAUUUUUUACUUAAGCCGACGAAAUACAACAUAAUUCGUCGGCCUAAACCAUCUUAACUGACGAAUUAUACUAGAAGUCAUCGGCUAAACUUGUCUUAGACGACGAAGAAUAUUAGAAGUCGUCGGCUAAAAGAACUUAAAGCCAACGAAUUGAAAUGAAAGUCGUCGGCUACAAGAUCUUAUAGCCAACGAAUUGCAAUGAAAGUCGUCGGCUAAAACUAUCUAAGCUGACGAUGUAUAUUAUAAGUCGUCGGCUAAAACCAUCUUAACCGACGAAGUAUAUUAGAAGUCGUCGGCUAAAACCAUCUUAGCCGACGAAUACCCUAAUAUUUCGUCAGCUUUAUUAAUUGUUAUAUUUUUUUAUUACAUACUAUAUCCGUCGAAUGAAUUAGGGUAUUCGUCGGCUAAACCCUAAACUUUUUCUGUUACAUACUAUAGCCCUAUCUUUGGUGGUUAUUUUGCGUAAAACUUUUAUAUGACUUAUUGUGUCUCAUCGAUUUGAAAAUAUUUUCAGUUGAAGGUCCGGCCAAAAUACGAAAUUUAGACGGUCCAACGACCUUUUCCGUGCAUUUAGGGGUUUGACUUACGGGAUUGACCGUCCGGAUCGAGCACUUAACCUUGUCAGAUCAAGUUGAAUUUUUUCCCAUACAUGUAUCUUAUCAUGAUGGUCAGAUCUGACCGUCCGAUUUCAUUUUCUCAAGUUUGAUCAUCACAAUCACAACAUGCCUACUAAUGUUGUAUAACUUGUUUACCAAGUGUUAAGUAAAUGUUCCGUUUCAAAAACAAACUAUACGUAGAACCUUCAAACGUAAAAAAGUCGUGAAAUAAGACAUGACCAGAAUGGUGAAAUACAUCUACGGUUGAAAAAUCACGGUAUUCCGGUAAAGUCUCGGUGUUGAUAGUUGCGGUCAAUGCAAUUUUCCAUUCUUUCUCCCUAUGGGUAGCCCUAUCUUCGGUGGUUAUUUUGCGUAAAAUUUUUAUAGGACUUGUUGCGUCUCAUCAGUUUGAAACUAUUUUCAGUUGAAGGUCCGGCCAAAAUACGUAAUUUAGACAGUCCAAUGACCUUUUCCGUGCGUUUAGGGGUUUGACUUAACGGAUUGACCGUUCAGAACCUUGUCGGAUCAAGUUGAAUUUUUUCCCAUACAUGUAUUUUAUCAUGGUGGUCAGAUCUGACGGUCGGAUUUUCGUUCUCAAGUUUGAUCAUCACAAUCACAAUCACAGUUUGACGAAUGGUUAAUUGUUUUAAAGCCGACGAAUUUCAAAGGUUUUGCCGAUGAAUUUAUUGUUUAGCCGACGAAUUUCAUAGGUUUAGCCGACGAAUUUCAAAGGUUUAGCCGACGAAUUUUAUCUUAGCCGACGAGAUUAUUAUUUUAGCCGACGAGAUUAUUAUUUCGUCGGCUAAAGUUUUCGGGUAUAACUCGACUGGUUAAUUGUAAGCCCUAGCCUCCGCCUCCUCUCCCUCUCCAAAUUUCCCCUCCUCCGCCUCCGCUCCCUCUCCCGGUCGCCGCCCUCUCCCCUCUCCCUCUCCCUNUCCC